AUUGAACGCUGGCGGCAGGCCUAACACAUGCAAGUCGAACGAGUGGCGGACGGGUGAGUAAUGUCUGGGAAACUGCCCGAUGGAGGGGGAUAACUACUGGAAACGGUAGCUAAUACCGCAUACCAUCGGAUCUUCUCAGAUGGGAUUAGCUAGUAGGUGGGGUAACGGCUCACCUAGGCGACGAUCCCUAGCUGGGCUGAGAGGAUGACCAGCCACACUGGAACUGAGACACGGUCCAGACUCCUACGGGAGGCAGCAGUGGGGAAUCGUGCACAAUGGGCGAAAGCCUGAUGCAGCAAUGCCGCGUGUAUGAAGAAGGCCUUCGGGUCGUAAAGUACUUUCAGCGAGGAGGCGUUACUCGAACAAGAAGCACCGGCUAACUCCGUGCCAGCAGCCGCGGUAAUAC
rnacentral:rRNA from 1 species